GGCGAGGUAGCCAAGUGGUUAGGCAGCGGAUUGCAAAUCCGUUAUACGUGGGUUCGAAUCCCAUCCUCGCCU
rnacentral:tRNA from 1 species